rnacentral:rRNA from 1 species
UACGUAGGGGGCAAGCGUUGUCCGGAAUCAUUGGGCGUAAAGCGCGUGUAGGCGGCUUGGUAAGUCCGCUCUGAAAGCCCGGGGCUCAACCCCGGGAGGCGGGUGGAUACUGUCAAGCUCGAGUCCGGAAGAGGCGAGUGGAAUUCCUGGUGUAGCGGUGGAAUGCGUAGAGAUCCGGAAGAACACCGGUGGCGAAGGCGGCCUGCUGGGCAGUUUAGCUGACACUGAGGCGCGACAGCGUGGGGAGCAAACAGG